rnacentral:rRNA from 1 species
GACGAACGCUGGCGGCGUGCCUAAUACAUGCAAGUCGAACGCAGUGGGGACGGGUGAGUAACACGUGGGUAACCUCCCAUCAGAGGGGAUAACACUUGGAAACAGGUGCUACAACGCUACUGAUUGAUGGACCAGCGGUGAAUUAGCUAGUUGGUGAGGUAACUGCUCACCAAGGCCCCGAUGCCUAGCCGACCUGAGAGGGUGAUCGGCAACACUGGGACUGAGACACGGCCCAGACUCCUACGGGAGGCAGCAGUAGGGAAUCGUCGGCAAUGGACGAAAGUCGGACCGAGCAACGCCGCGUGAGUGAAGAAGGUUUUCGGAUCGUAAAACUCUGUUGUUAGAGAAGCGGUAUCUAACCAGAAAGCCACGGCUAACUACGUGCCAGCAGCCGCGGUAAUUC